GUUGAGCAACCAAAACCAGAUAAAUAUGUCAAUCGGACACACUGUCAAAAGUACAGAACUCGCGAAGGACAAAAAGGACAAAUUGCUGUUGUGUUCAAGAAUCUGGAAAUAUGAAGGCAGUGACUAUUGUUUUUUUGACAGCGCUGGUUGUCAGCCACAGUGAAGCCUUGAGGUGCUACUGUGGAGGCAGGCAUCAGUGUCCAGGUGGGGUGGAGACCUGCCGUGUUGGAGACGACGUUUGUUCCAGCAUCACAUAUACUAUCCCCAGUCCCAGCUUCACUAAACGCUGCUCAAACACAGUCUUUUGUAAAUUCCUCAGUGAUUCACCUCUGUCAACUGGAACCUGCUGCAACACUGAUCUGUGCAAUGUUUAAACCAUGGGCUGAUGAUCACUGUAUAUGAUGUAAAUAUAGCCAACAUUGCCAAACAUCCAUGUCAUGUGUAAAAAUAAAUCGACUAAAUAUAAAACUA